CAGUAGCCGCGGGAAUACGGAGGGUGCAAGCGUUAAUCGGAAUUACUGGGCGUAAAGCGCACGCAGGCGGUCUGACAAGUCAGAUGUGAAAUCCCCGGGCUUAACCUGGGAACUGCAUUUGAAACUGUCAGGCUGGAGUCUUGUAGAGGGGGGUGGAAUUCCAGGUGUAGCGGUGAAAUGCGUAGAGAUCUGGAGGAAUACCGGUGGCGAAGGCGGCCCCCUGGACAAAGACUGACGCUCAGGUGCGAAAGCGUGGGGAGCAAACAGGAUUAGAUACCCGCGUAGUCCAUGUCUCUUAUAC
rnacentral:rRNA from 1 species